UACGUAGGCAGCGAGCGUUGUUCGGAGUUACUGGGCGUAAAGAGUGCGUAGGCGGUUUUCAAGUUGGUGUGAAAUCUCCCGGCUUAACUGGGAGGGUGCGCCGAAGACUGGAAGGCGUUGAGUAUGGGAGAGGAAGCGGAAUUCCUGGUGUAGCGGUGAAAUGCGUAGAUAUCAGGAGGAACACCUGCGGUGUAGACGGCUUACUGGACCAUCACUGACGCUGAGGCACGAAAGCGUGGGUAGCAAACAGG
rnacentral:rRNA from 1 species